CAAUUUCAAAAAAUGGCGGCUUGAUUGAUUCAACAAAGCCAAAGCCACAUUUCAAAUUUUAAAUUCCAAAUUCCAGAGGCUUAGAGAUGCAGCGAGGGUGCGCUUCGUCGGCUCUGCCUCUGCGAGCGCGCCUCAUAGACUUUCUCAUCCAAUCUGCUCACAAACUCCAAGUUGCUCCGACCGUGAAAUAUACCGCAUUGUCAAUUUUUGCUCAUAGAUUCUACCCUCGUUGUUUGUCCAGAUUGGAGGAACAAGGCAAUGACGUGGAAAACUGGCUUUUGCAACCCCUGAGAGAGAGCAAUUUGCAGUUGUUUGCGCUCGUUUCUCUAUGGAUUUCAACCAAAAUACACACUUCUCCUUGUUUGUCUGUGAAAAUAUUCAAGUCUUUGGGGGACAACAUUAUCAAGGAACAACACUACACCAUUCGAGAUUACUUGGAAGCAGAGGUGGUCUUAAUGCAGGUAGUGAAUUUUGAGAUUGGUAUGAACAAUAGUGCUUUUGUAUACUUUGAGGAGCUUUUACUUCAAUUCAAGGGAGUGGCAAAGGUUGGGGAACUUGUGAACUUUGAAGCAGGCAUGGACAUCAUGGAUCUGAUUUAUGAAAAGGAGGAGACAUCCAUGCUCUAUACUAAUCCUCAUUCUCUUGCCGCAUCAAUCUUGGUUGCUUCAUAUGUCAUCACAGUUCCUAAACAGACGUGGGAAUUUCCUGUUGUUCCCUGGGUUAAGUUCGUAACAGGUUGCGAAGAAGAGGAUAUUCUAGAUAUAGUCAGAGACAUUCUUAAGCAUGUAUUGGAUGUUUCUUGCUAGAUAUAAGUUCCUCUCUCAAUGUCAAGGCUGAGAAGAGGGCAACGUGUCUGGUUUUGUACAUCAAAUAGGAUUUCACCUGCGUGAGUUGAGCCCUACACAAGUGACGGAUGCACUUUAUGCUGCUGUUGCAGAUGCAGUUAUAUAUAACAGCUUCCCUGCAGCCAAAUUCGAAUAAUGACAAUAAUUUCCGCUUGGAGGUUGACAUUAUGAAACAUUGGAUGUCAUAUAUACCUAUUCAUGAUCGAAAUUCGCACAAUUAACAAUCAUGCUUGUACGAAUCUCAACCUUAAAAUGAUGGUUCAUUUUAA